GCUCAAGUGAACUCCUGCCUCAGCCUCCCACAGUGCUGGGAUGACAGGCAUGAGCCACCACGCCCGGCCCAUAUACACGUUCUUGUUGUACUAUUAAUUCAACUUCUCUAUACAAACUUUUCAUUUAAAAAGUUGGAGAAAACAUCGUGUUUUAGUUUUUUGUUUGUUUAUUUUUGAGACAGAGUCUCACUCUUUCACCUGUAUUGGAGUGCAGUGGCACAGUCGCAGCUCCCUGCAGCCUCAACCUCCCAGGCUCAAACGAUCCUUCCACCUCAGCCUCCAAGUAGCUGGCACUACAGGUGCACACCACCACACCCAGCUAAUUUUUAAUUUUUUUGUAGAGAUGGGGUCUCAGUAUAUUGCCCAGGCUGGUCUCGAAUUCCUGGGCUCAAGCAAUCCUCCUGUCUCAGCCUUCCAAAAUGUUGGAAUGACAGGCUUGCAUCACUGCACCCAGCUUGGUUUUACUUUUUAACAUUUGUAAGGCUUUACUCCACCUGGAAUUGUUUUUGUGUAGGAUAUAUAUAUAUAUGAAAGCUAAUGUAUGCUGGGCUUAAUGCCUAGGUGAUGGGAUGGUCUAUGCAGCAAACCACCGUGGCACACGUUUACCUGUGGAACAGACCUGCACAUCCUGCACAUGUACCCCGGAACUUAAAAUAAAAGUUGAAGAAAAAAAGAAAGAAACCUUAGCAGGGUAGCUAGAUAAAUGUCCUUAGAUUUCUAUUGACUUUUCUUGUCGUCCUGUGCUGGCAUCUCCAACAAGCAUGGGACUGAGGUGAUGAAGGCAUGUUGGCGACAGAGGGUCCUCACCAAAGGGAAACCUUCCUUGUUACACUGCUAAGUGAAGUGGUUGUUGUGGGUUUUUUUUUUUUUUUAAUGUUUUUUAUCAAGUUGAGAAAAUUCCCCUCCAUUUCGCAUUUGCCAGGAGGUUCUGGUUUUUGUUUUUAAUCACAAUCAUGAUUGGAUGUUGCCAGUUACAGUGAACUUGUGGCUUUCCCCUUUUGAUUUGUUAAUAUCAUGUUAAAAAGUCCCUGCAUUCCUGGAAUAAACCCAAUUUAGCCAUGAUCUUUUUCAUAAAUUACUGGAUUAGUUAACUAAUACAGGCACACCUUGGUGAUAUUGUGGGUUCCGUUCCGGACUUCGGCAAUAAAAUAAAUAUCACGAUAAAGUGAGGCACACACAUUUUUUGAUUUCCCAGUGCAUACAGAAGUUAGGUUUAUGCUGUGUACAGCCAUGCCACCCUGAACGUGCCUGAUCUCAUCAGAAGUUAUGUUUCUGCUAUACUGUAGUCUGUUAAGUGUGCAAUAGCAUUGUGUCUAAAAAAAACAGUGUGCAUGCCUUAAUUAAAAAAUACUUGAUUGCUAAAAAA